rnacentral:lncRNA from 1 species
ACAACUAGACCAGCAUGGGUCUCUAGACUAGUGCUAUGGCUGGCGACGUGACGACGUGCAGGCUGGCUGGCGGACAGGCCAUGCGGAACAACAAGAACAAGACAAACGGACCCAUUUCAUCUAUGCAAGACAUAGUGGCCAUGUGGGCACAGGCCGGUGCGAAACUUUUACCUAAAGCUAAACAGUUACACACUGGGCUAGCUUACCACAACUAACCCACGUUCGUCGACGCAAGUUUGCAUUAAAAUCACGCGUGUUUCAUAGGUUCAGAAAUCAGUUUACCUGUGAUGUUUGGUUUUGGAUGGUUCACGUAUGGUCAUUGUGAUAGUCAUUUAAUAUGCAGCUUGGAUUGCAGCACCUUAGCAGCACUGCGGCAUGAGCAGCACUGCGGCAUGAGGUCGUCAUCUACCAUCCAACAACGUAUAUAACAUGAUGAGAUGGGUCGGAGAGAAUAGGGACACACAUGAAGCACAAAGCAUGAUUGUCGUUUGCACAUUAGUUUGGCCAGUCCUGCAAUUCAAUCGGCAAUCGUGCACCACCACAGUCAAGAUUGCAUGCCUGCCCAGCUGGCCAGGCUCGCAGUGCAUUCACGUCUUGACUGCUGUGCAUGCGUAUGCAUGUGUGCAGCAUGACUUCAUGAAGUUCUCGUAUGUGAAAUGCACAUUAUGCACCAGUGCGUGUUGCUUGAAGGAUGCAUACUUGCAUGCGUUGCCAAUGCCCGCCAAACUACAUGUUGCAGUGUGUUCAUGGUGACUAUGCA